CUAAACAAUACAAGUCACAGCCUGUUCUAUGAGAAUACAAGGGUCUUAGGGAAAUAAUAUAUGGAUAUAUAUGUUUUCUUCCAUCAUUCAAGCAAAUAAGGAUGAAGAUUUCUACUUCAGUGCCAGUUACAGAGGCUCAAAGUCCAAGAUUGAGGUGCCAACAUGCUUGGGUUCUGCUCCAUCAGGAAAAGGGCAGGAAAGGAUAGCACAAAGAUGUUCCAACAAGUAACUUCUCACCGCUGCAUCCAGUCAACUUCACGUAAAGAUACAAACUUCAAAGUAUUUUUUCUUUUCUUCACACUCAUUUCAAGAUUGACACAGCCCUGACUUUACCCAGGUAUGAUAAAUCUAACUGGGAUGUGGAAGAGUGGGGGAGGGUAGAUGCACAACAACGAUCAACGAUGGAGUGCCACUGUAGCAAGAAACUACCAGAGGCAACAACACAGGCAAAUAAGCCUGGCUGUGUUCCAAUAAUCUUCAUUUAUGGAUGGUGAAAUACAAAUUUCAUGUAAUUUUUAUUAUGUCAUGAAAUAUGCCUCUUUUAAUUUUUU